rnacentral:rRNA from 1 species
GAGUUUGAUCUUGGCUCAGAUUGAACGCUGGCGGCAUGCCUUACACAUGCAAGUCGAACGGCAGCACGGGAGCUUGCUCCUGGUGGCGAGUGGCGAACGGGUGAGUAGUGCAUCGGAACGUAUCCUGGAGUGGGGGAUAACGUAGCGAAAGUUACGCUAAUACCGCAUAUUCUGUGAGCAGGAAAGCGGGGGACCUUCGGGCCUCGCGCUCUUGGAGCGGCCGAUGUCGGAUUAGCUAGUUGGUGAGGUAAAGGCUCACCAAGGCGACGAUCCGUAGCAGGUCUGAGAGGAUGAUCUGCCACACUGGAACUGAGACACGGUCCAGACUCCUACGGGAGGCAGCAGUGGGGAAUUUUGGACAAUGGGGGCAACCCUGAUCCAGCCAUGCCGCGUGAGUGAAGAAGGCCU